CAUAAACACCGGUAGUGGGCUUCUUCCAGGAAGCGCGAGAGGGACGUUUUAAAGCAUCAAAACUCGGUUUUGGUUUAACUAUUAACUAAGCUUUUUUAACUGAAAUGUAAUCAUGUCGAACUGCAGGAGCCAACUACUGAAGCCGUGGGUCGUCGUGCGAGAGUGUUUAAGUGGGAUUUAUCUGCGGAAUUGGACAUGUUGGAUGGCGAGCUAGAGCCUGAAGCUUUAUGCCUGGAACCGAACCAACCGAACUGAAUCCACGCAACCGAGCCCCGGGCAGUCUGUGGCGCCAUGUUGGAGGAUACUGUCGUGUCCAGGAAACAGAACCUGACCGGUGAUCAUCUCGGCCAGGAUGCAGGCGGCAGACCAGACGUCAACUGUGACGCAUUUGAAACAAGUCAGAAGGACCAGAAAUGUAUUAUUUUGUUGUUGUUGUUGUUGUUGCAUUAUUCUGUUACCUGUCUGACUGUAGUGCAUCCAGUUCAAUAUGAUCUCCGGGGCGCGGUACCAGCGGGUCACCACGUAACCGGUCAUCUCAGUCUCUGUCUGCCGAGCUAGACCAAAGUCCAGGAUCUGACAAAUUGGCGUAUUGUGCAAAAUUUGUUAAAACGUUAGCGUUAGCAUGCUAGCACCCGGUCAAAUAGAACAAAGUACCAAAGUAGUUCUAUAAUGUUCCUACUAAAGCAGUGAUUCUCCACCUGUGCUAGGUAUACCACUAGUGGUACAUGGGCUCCAUCUAGUGGUGCGCCGAAGAAUCACUUGAUUAAAGUACAGUUGUCAAACUUGCCCCUGACAGUUUGUUUGUGUUUUACUUUUUCCUCUGUGUGUGUUUAGUAUUUCCUGUCCUUAGUUCAUGUCAGCACUCUUAUUUGGGUUCAGCUUCCUGUUUGUCUCCCUGUGUGCUGUUUUCCCCUCAGCUGCGGCUGAUUGGCACCUGGCCACACCUGGUGUCAAUCAGCCGGCUUCUAUUUGAGUCUGUUUUUGUCCUCCAGUCAGUUGCUGGAUUAUUGUCGUUGCCACAUGUCGCUCUUGGGGCGGCAUAGCUCGGUUGGUAGAGUGGCCGUGCCAGCAACUUGAGGGUUGCAGGUUCGAUUCCUGCUUGUGCAAUCCUAGUUACUGCCGUUGUGUCCUUGGGCAAGACACUUUACCCACCUGCUCCCAGUGCCACCCACACUGGUUUGAAUGUAACUUAGAUAUUGGGUGUCACUAUGUAAAGCGCUUUGAGUCACUUGAGAAAAGUGCUAUAUAAAUAUAAUUCACUUCACUUCACUUGUCAUUGCUACCUGUCGUGUCGUUUCAAUGCAGCGUAGCGGUAAGCUAUAUUCGUUUGUUUGUAGCUUACUGUCUUUUGUUCCCUGCUUCCGUUUUGUUUUCAUUCUACAAGUAACAACUUCUGUUUUCCUGUUCGCUACCCGCUAGUUUCCACGCUAGGCCCCUUUUGUUUUUUACUAGCUUCCAUGCUAAGUUCCUUUUUGUUUUCUAGCUCCCAUGCUAGCUCUCUUAGUUUGUUAUCCGGCUCUUGCGCGCUUUGUGUUAGUACCCUUGAGUUUGUUCUUGUUCCAUUAUUUUUGAUUAAAUCAUGUUUUCUCACUCCAUGCCUGCCUCCUUCUCUGCAUCUUGGGGUCCGUCUACAACUAACUCUGACAGAAUAAUCCAGCAACUGACUGGAGGACAAAAACA